ACAUACAUUUUCCAACACGGAGCGGCUUGCACACAUGCAGCUCUUAGGCCCGGGCCGCACGUCUCAGAAGCCCCGUGUGCGACUUUGACCGCCGCACGAUCCUCUGCCGGGGGAGGUGGGCCCGCUGCGCUUUGGGAGCACCCGCGCCCGACACUGAGGUCUCGGUGCUGUGUUCGGCCUCUUCGUCCCUGCGGGUCCCCUCUGGGAGCAGAGGCGGUCGGAAAACCCUGGGGCUGAAGUGCAGGCUUCGGGAGGACGCGACCUGCCAAGAUCAGCUCCCGGCACGUGAUGGGAGCCUGGCUCACCUUCCCCCAGCGCACGAUGGGCCGCAGCCUCCCCGGUCGGCCUGGCCUGCUGGAAAGGAGCAGCUCUGUUUCCAGAGGCUUCUGGCGAAGCCCACGGCCUCCCAUUGUUGGCUGAUUUAUAAGGAAAGAGGGGAAAGGCCAAGUGUGGAUGCCAUUAGCAUAACCUAAUCCAGACCCCAUGACAAGUCCAGGAUCCUGCAGGGAGAGGGCAUCCUUGAACGUGAAGGACUGGCUUUGGAAACUUGGCCUCCCGGAAGAAAGGUCUCCGGGCCCACCCACACCCACCUUGUGGACGCCCCCGCAGUCGAAUACACUCCACAGGAAGACGGACCACAAACAGCAGCAGCCUCCGGUGUCGGCCCAGUGAUCCGGGAGCUCAGAGUCUUUGCGUCCUCCAGAAUUGUCCUGUGAGUGACUCCCACAGGAUGGAGACUUUUGUGUCUGGCUUCCUUCACUUCGCAGCAGGCUUCGCGGGACCCGUGUGGUGGCACCAGCGUCCCGCCCUUGGUGCUGCUGAGCUUGGCUCUGCAGAAACCCAUGAAAGAGGAUCCUGAAAGAGCAAGGGCGGCCUCCAGGUGAAGGUGGUGGGCGGCCUCCAGGUGAAGGCGGCCUCCAGGUGAAGGUGGUCAGCACCCUCCCUUUGGCCAAGAGGAGACUGCAGUUUCAACUCAAAGAUUAUUCCUGAAUGAUGCAGCAAGCUUAAACUUCCUUAAAAACAAACCUCUGGGAAGAGGAAAACGAGGCAAGAUGCUGAGAAAAAGUCAUCUCCCACUCUGCCCUUCUCUGGCAAAUCGAAGUGUCCUCUUGUGGGAGGCGGUGGGCAGCGACACUCCUGUUGGACGUCAGUGCUCUCGGGAUGGGCCCGGCCACCCCGGAGCAGAACUCACUUAGGGCCUGGUGCCCCUGUGCCCAGUUCUCAGAACGUCGGAGUGCUCAGUUCUCAGAACGCCGGAGUGCCCCAUUCAUAACCUGCAGCCCCGUUCAUAGCCUGCAGCUCCCCUCCUUCCUCUCCUCCCGGUCGUCAGGGAGCACCCCCAGCUCCCCUCCCCACUCUCAAACCCUCCUCCUCCCUCCCCUCUCUCAUUUCCCUGUUUGCAGGAUCUCCUCCUGCCCACUCUCCAGCCCAGGUCCUCCCCUCUCAUCUCCAAUUCUGCUUCAUGGGCCAUGACAGCAGGCAGGCCAUGGCCUGCUCUCAGCAGUUUGAUCGAUGGACUAAGGAGAUCACUCCUAUGAGAGUGAAAAAGUCAAAUGUGCCUGAGAUUCGGAUGGGGAGCUCUCAAAGCUACGGAUUGCAAGAGUCAACACCGCCUCAAAAGUACAAGGCCGGCCGGGUGCAGUGGCUCACACCUGUAAUCCCAGCACUUUGGGAGACUGAGGCGGGUGGAUCACCUGAGGUCAGGAGCUCAAGACCAGCCUGACCAACAUGGUGAAAUCCCGUCUCUAUUAAAAAUACAAAAAAGAUUAGCCGGGUGUGGUGGUGCAUGCUUGUAGUCCCAGCUACUCGGGAGGCUGAGGCAGGGGGAGCACUUGAACCCGGGAGGUGGAGGUUGCAGUGAGCCGAGAUUGCACCAUUGCACUCCAGCCUGGGCAACAGAGUGAGACCCUGCCUCAAAAAAAUAAAAAAAUAAAAGUACGAGGCCCGGUUUAAAUGCAGGAGGAAUCUGGUGAGCGAGUUUCACUCUGAUGCAACAGAAAAGCCAAGCCAAGCCUUGGCUGUGCCUGGUCUUGGCCGGGGAGCCACAGGCAGGGUCUGCUGGUUUCGGUGUCAGGGGCACAUCCCCAGGACCACGUCUGAGAUGGGAAGUGCCUUGAUGGAAAACUGAUACCUUUUUCUUUCCGAGUAACUUUAGAACAUGUCGCUUCAAAUAUAACUAAUAUCCUGAUUUCAGUGGACUUGCAUGGAAGGAAACGCAAGUUCAUUUGCCAGUGGGGGGUGAGGACUGGGAGAGUGGGGAGCAGGGUGGGGAAGAGGGGAGCAUUCCACAAGCCGCAAGAGCCUGGACACCUCCAGCCUUCAAUAAAUAGCAUUUGAAUUUGCUGUGCCUAA
rnacentral:lncRNA from 1 species